GAUCAGGAAGCUAUUAUGGAAAAAAUAUAUAUUUAUAUUUACAUUAGGCCACCAAAGUCGACUAUCUUCAUAAUGUGGUGUACAUCGAUUUAGUAUGUGUAUCAUUGUUUUUGUUAGAAUAUUAUUUGUUUUGUUCAAUUGUUUUAUUCUCUUUGUAUAGUAUAAUGGAUCCUUUGUAACGGGUGUGUGUAUAUACACACACACGCAACCCUAAUUAAGGGGUUUCCACAUUAAUUAGCAUGGUAUUAAGCCUCCUUGCGUAUGCCUCAUAGCAAACUCACGGGGAUCAAUUUUUUCAUCGAUCGAUGUUUCUUCCACUCGAUUUUGUCAUCGCCUGUAGUCGAGUUCCAAAAUAGUAUUUUUCUUCUUUUUUUUACUGUGUUUGGCUACCUAUUAUGUCUCUGUGCCUGAUAUCCCGAUCUUUUAUUUACUAGGUCUCGCCCUCAAGACGUCGUUGAUCACUUGUUGUUCAAGAUCUCAUCACUUCCCUACAUUAGAAGUUCUACAGAUCAUUUGGUUCCUUCUGCCCAAGGUUUUCAAGGCGCAAAUGGUCAAUUUCAAGCACUUUAUGAAGCUCUAACUGCUUUUUCUCCACAUUGUGAGAUAUUGUAUGUAUACCCGCAUGCUAAACUUGUAAGCCUUCUAGAUCAGUUUAAGGAUUGAAAUAAAAAUGCCAUAAAGCUACGUGCUUACACUAAAUAUAAAAAAAUAUUAAAUGAAAUAUAUCACAAAAAUUAGAAAACAAAAAAUUGAUAGACUUAUAUAAACUGUUCGCUAUUAAUGUAAUCUGGAUUACUGAUAUUGGCUACUGGCAAGGACAAUUUAUUGGAUUACAAUAUAGAUGAUGUUAGAGAUUGAACUUUCAUUUGGAAGCAGGCUAUUUUUUAUCUU